rnacentral:misc_RNA from 1 species
GAUGAAGAACGUAGCAAAAUGCGAUACUUGGUGUGAAUUGCAGAAUCCCGUGAACCAUCGAGUUUUUGAACGCAAGUUGCGCCCGAAGCCAUUCGGCCGAGGGCACGUCUGCCUGGGUGUCACGCAUCGUUGCCCCCCCAAACUCCGGUUCGGGCGGGGCGGAAGUUGGCCUCCCGUGCGUGCCUGCGCGCGCGGUUAGCCCAAAAGCGAGUCCUCGGCGACGAGCGCCACGACAAUCGGUGGUUUUUUUACCCUCGUUCCUCGUCGUGCGUGCCCCGUCGCCCGAACGCGCUCUUGCGACCCUCACGCGUCGCCUCGGCGGCGCUCCCAACGCGACCCCAGGUCAGGCGGGACUACCCGCUGAGUUUAAGCAUAUCAAUAAGCGGAGGA